GACAGCAGCAGCCGCGGAAAUACAGAGGGUGCGAGCGUUAAUCGGAUUUACUGGGCGUAAAGCGUGCGUAGGCGGCUUCUUAAGUCGGAUGUGAAAUCCCUGAGCUUAACUUAGGAAUUGCAUUCGAUACUGGGAAGCUAGAGUAUGGGAGAGGAUGGUAGAAUUCCAGGUGUAGCGGUGAAAUGCGUAGAGAUCUGGAGGAAUACCGAUGGCGAAGGCAGCCAUCUGGCCUAAUACUGACGCUGAGGUACGAAAGCAUGGGGAGCAAACAGGAUUAGAUACCCGCGUAGUCCCUGUCUCUUAUAC
rnacentral:rRNA from 1 species